rnacentral:rRNA from 1 species
CGGACGGGUGAGUAACGCGUGGAUAACCUGCCUCACACUGGGGGAUAACAGUUAGAAAUGACUGCUAAUACCGCAUAAGCGCACAGUACCGCAUGGUACAGUGUGAAAAACUCCGGUGGUGUGAGAUGGAUCCGCGUCUGAUUAGCCAGUUGGCGGGGUAACGGCCCACCAAAGCGACGAUCAGUAGCCGACCUGGGAGGGUGACCGGCCACAUUGGGACUGAGACACGGCCCAA